AUGCCCUGAGCUCAAGAUGGGUCAUUGGAAAUUGUGAAAAGCAAGAGCUAGAGAUGAGUCAGAGUGGAAUUAGAAUUUGCACGUGUAGCAGUGAAAUGAGAUAGAGAUGUGGAGCAAGUGCCGAUGGCGAAGGCAGCCUCCUGGGACGAGACUGACGCUCAUACACGAAAGCAUCAGGAGCAAUCAGGAUUCGAUAUCGUGCUAGUCCUCACCGUAAACUAUGUCAUGUAGUGGUGUUUGAUUCAUUUCGUCAGUCACGUAGCUCAUGCGUCAAUUUGCCUGCGUAGUGAGUACGGUCGCAAGAUUAUCACUCAAAGGAAUGGACGGGGACCCGCACAAGCGAUCGAUGAUGUGGAUUAAUAGGAUGCAACGCGACAAACCUUACUUACCCCAUCCUUGCCACUAUCGAAGCAGAGAUGCUUCCCGUGCCGGAAACAGAAAGUCGACUCAGGCAUGGCAGUGCUGUGCUCAUCUCGUGUGAUGAUAUGUUAAGUCAAGUCCCGCGCCCAGCCCAUCCGUUGACUCUCGAUCAUUCACAAGAGCACUCUAAAGAGACUGCCGGUGACAAACCGGAGGAAGGUGGGGAUGACGUCAAGUCAUCAUGCCCCUUAUGAUUAGGGCUACACACGUCAUACAAUGGUCAGUACAGAGGGCAGCCAACCCGCGAGGUCGAGCUAAUCUCAGAAAAGCGCAUCGCAGUUCGGAUCGUAGUCUGCAACUCGACUAUGUGAAGCUGGAAUCGCUAGUAAUCGUAGAUCAGCAUGCCGCGGUGAAUACGUUCCCGGGUCUUGUACACACCGCCCGUCACACCAUGAGAGUGGGUAACACCAGAAGUAGUUAGCAGUACCCCUAGGAGGUAGCUUGUCCACGGCGG
rnacentral:rRNA from 1 species